rnacentral:rRNA from 1 species
AUUGAACGCUGGCGGCAUGCCUUACACAUGCAAGUCGAACGGUAACAGGUCUUCGGAUGCUGACGAGUGGCGAACGGGUGAGUAAUACAUCGGAACGUGCCCAGACGUGGGGGAUAACGAGGCGAAAGCUUUGCUAAUACCGCAUACGAUCUAAGGAUGAAAGCCGGGGACCGCAAGGCCUUGUGCGUUUGGAGCGGCCGAUGGCAGAUUAGGUAGUUGGUGGGAUAAAAGCUUACCAAGCCGACGAUCUGUAGCUGGUCUGAGAGGACGACCAGCCACACUGGAACUGAGACACGGCCCAGACUCCUACGGGAGGCAGCAGUGGGGAAUUUUGGACAAUGGGCGAAAGCCUGAUCCAGCAAUGCCGCGUGCAGGAUGAAGGCCUUCGGGUUGUAAACUGCUUUUGUACGGAACGAAAAGGCUCUGGCUAAUACCUGGGGCACAUGACGGUACCGUAAGAAUAAGCACCGGCUAACUACGUG